rnacentral:SRP_RNA from 1 species
UGCCAGGUACGGUCAAUGUCCGAGUGUGAAUCAUGUCAGAUCGGGAACGAAGCAGCAUUAAGCAAAUCCGGAUAUGUGUGCUGCUACCUGGCAUUU